rnacentral:rRNA from 1 species
CCCUACGGGGCGCAGCAGGAUUUCUAUGAGUCCGAGCCCGCCGAAACCGGUGGCCCCGACGAUUGUGGCUUUUUUCAUGGCAUGCUCCCCUUUCCGACGCGCAGGCCGUUUGCUUACGCACCCUGCGCGUUACAUAUUCGAGAAUUGGAGUGCACGAGGCUUUUUGUAAAGAGAUUUUUGGUCAAAUACCGGCAUUUAUUUGUUUGCGCCUGAAAAGCAGAAAGAAUUCAUCCUGAAUAAAAUCAUGCUUCGCUUCAACCGUGAAGCCGGCCUGCCGCACCCAUGAAACAAGCUCAUCGGUAGUGAACCUGUUCGAGGAUGGGGGCCAGUUGCGCGUGAAGUCUAUUAUCGCGAUCCUGCCGUCCGGCUUCACGUACGAGGCCAGGCGGGCGAGGUAGCCGGGCUGGUCCGCAACAUAGUGAAGGGUGUCGCAGAAAAAAACAAGGUCGACCGGGGCGGGGGGGC